CCGAAGGCCGGCCGGGCGUCCCGGGCGUGGGUGCGGGACCGCCCUCUGUGGUCUUGGGCGGUGGGGAUCACGCGUGUUGUUUUCCCGGUGGCCCGGCCGUGUCUGAGGCU
rnacentral:pre_miRNA from 1 species